AUUGAACUCUCUCCCCUCUUCUAUAAAUACCUACAAUCACCUCUAAAGAGCAGCCAAACCACAUCCAUUUCAUUAAGAAAGAGGGCAACAGAAGAGAGAGAGAGAGAGCAGCAUCAGAUUGAGUUUCAAUCAUGCAAAGCUCCACCCUUCAUGGAAAGACCUCCUGGCCAGAGUUAGUAGGAAAGAAGGGAGAGGCUGCAAUGGCAUCAAUAAAAAGUGAGAAUCCAAACCUGAACGCGUUCACAAUUAAGGAGGGCACUCCCGUCACCAGAGACUAUCGCGUUGACCGUGUCCGUGUUUGGGUCGAUGACUCCGACCUAGUCACCAGAGUCCCCACGGUGGGCUAAUCAAUGGUGUUACCAAAUAAAAUAAUAUGAAUAAGCUCCUUAUAUGAGGAGCCCCCUCUUGAAUGUGCAGAUGAAAUAAAAGCUGUUUACUUCCACUUUUGUCUUAA